AGUGAACGCUGGCGGUAGGCCUAACACAUGCAAGUCGAACGGCAGCACAGUAAGAGCUUGCUCUUACGGGUGGCGAGUGGCGGACGGGUGAGGAAUACAUCGGAAUCUACUUUUUCGUGGGGGAUAACGUAGGGAAACUUACGCUAAUACCGCAUACGACCUACGGGUGAAAGCAGGGGAUCUUCGGACCUUGCGCGAUUGAAUGAUCCGAUGUCGGAUUAGCUAGUUGGCGGGGUAAAGGCCCACCAAGGCGACGAUCCGUAGCUGGUCGGAGAGGAUGAUCAGCCACACUGGAACUGAGACACGGUCCAGACUCCUACGGGAGGCAGCAGUGGGGAAUAUUGGGCAAUGGGCGCAAGCCUGAGCCAGCCAUACCGCGUGGGUGAAGAAGGCCUUCGGGUUGUAAAGCCCUUUUGUUGGGAAAGAAAAGCAGCAGGUUAAUACCCCGCUGUUCUGACGGUACCCAAAGAAUAAGCACCGGCUAACUUCGUG
rnacentral:rRNA from 1 species